rnacentral:rRNA from 1 species
UACAGAGGUCCCAAGCGUUGUUCGGAAUUACUGGGCGUAAAGGGCUCGUAGGCGGCCAACUAAGUCAGACGUGAAAUCCCUCGGCUUAACCGGGGAACGGCGUCUGAUACUGGAUGGCUUGAGUUCGGGAGAGGGAUGCGGAAUUCCAGGUGUAGCGGUGAAAUGCGUAGAUAUCUGGAGGAACACCGGUGGCGAAGGCGGCAUCCUGGACCGACACUGACGCUGAUGAGCGAAAGCCAGGGGAGCAAACGGG